GCCCUGCCGCGCGCCUUCGCCGCCGCCGCCGCCGCCUCUCCUCUCCUCCCCCCUCCCCGCGCGUCCCUGUGUGUCAGUUGCUGGCCGGUAAUGGCGCCGGGCUGGCGGCGGCGUUGCCGCUGAAGCCGCCUCUGGGCCCGCCGCCGCCGCCGCCGCCCCUCAGCGCCGCCCUGUUCCCGGAGGCUGACGAGAUGAACCGGCUACCUCACCCGCCCCGCCGGGAAGGGGCUGGGAAGAACGGAGACGGCGGCAGAGCAGGUGAGGGGAGGAGGCCUCCCGGUUGUCCGGCCCACCGGCCUCCACCCUGGGACUGGCCCGGAGGCCAAAGCGGGGCGCUGGGCUUUAUGAAGGGAGGGCGAGCGGGGCGGGGGGCCCUUCCUCGGCCGGGUGUGGUGGCCCCACUGUGGGGUCGGUGGGUGUUUUCUAGUAGCGGGGGGUUCCGCGGGUGAACCUCCCGUGCCCCGCUUCCCCUCUCCUCGCCGCCCUGUUUCUCUCUCUGAGGUUCGGCCAGGGCUGUCAUUGCUGCUUCCUGGUUUAAAGGGACAAGUUCUGCCUUCGGGUUUCCUGUUGGCUGGCCCUGUUUUCAGAAGCGCUGCCCUUUAAUUUCAGGGAGCCCGUCAUAGAUUGUUGUUGUUGUUACUACUACUACUGUUGUUGUUUGUUUGUUUGUUUGUUAGUUACGUGUCCCGGCCGUUGUGGGGAAUUCAGUUGUGGGGAAACCCAACAAGACGGACGGGGCAUAAAUAACAAAUAAUAAUUAUUAUUAUUAUUCAAAGUGCCUGCUGACGAACAUGAGAUGUUGGGACUGGGAAGGAGAAGAAAUACAUGUGGGCUCAGAAGUUUGUGCAGACGUGAUGCCGUUUCUAACUUUGGGAUUCGGAUUGCAAAUUGCCACAGGGAGGCUGCAUAAGACUGUGUUUGUGCAUAGGCAGGUACCCCAGGCACGCAUGUUUGUCUGUGCGCUUUUAAAAAGUAAGAUGAGAGAGAAAGAAAAGGCAGGUCUCUGCUACCAAGAAAUGUAAAGUCUAAGGGCUUGAUAUAAGCCAUGCGCUUCUAAGGCUGCAAUUGCAUGUACACAUCAGGCACAUUGGUCUAAAAUACUUCUGAGUAAACAUGGAUUUGGAUCCGUUUGGGUCUCUGUUCAUCUCUCCUGUAAGAAGUGUUCUGCUGCAUCAGAUCAAAGAAACAUCCAGUCCAGCACCCAUGUCACCCAUUUCUCACCAUGUCAACCAGAUGCCCCAAGAACCCGACAGAGUUUGAAGGCAACAAACUUUCUCUUGCUGUCUAGCAAAUGGUAGUCAGCAGUAGCAUACUGCUUUCUGAAUGCAGAGGUUCCAUUUAGCUGUCAUGCCAAAAGACCUGUAUACCUUAUGCAUUCGUCUAAUCUUUUAAAGCUGCCUAGGCCAGUGGCCAUCACUGUAUACUGUGGCAGUGAAUUCCAUAGACCAUGUAUUGUGCAAAGUAGUGCUUUCUCUUAUCUGCCCUCAGCUGUCAGUUUCAUUGGGUGAUUUGAGUUUUAAUAUUCUAGGAAGUGGAGAAAAAGUUAUGUCUCCACACCAUUCAUAAUUUUAUAAGCCUCUAUCAUGUCUCUUAAUGGACGGUUAUCUGAAAAAAAAAAUUGCAAACACUUUUCAUAAUUUUAGCUGUCCUUUUCUGGACCUUUUCUAAUUCUACAGUGUUCUUUUUGAGGUUGAGCAUCCAGGACUGCACAUAAUAUUCCAGAUGUGGCUGUGUCUUGAAUUCAUCCACACUAUUACACUGCCAGACUUAAGAAAUCGAUUGAAUGUGACUGCUAGCAUUGAAUUCAUGCUUUUAUUUUAUGCUGCACACUGACUUUUUUGAGCUUUGCCUCAAGAUUGGUUUCCUAGUUAGUCACUUUUGGUUCUGACCCCAUCAUGAAUGUCAGCAGUGGGGAAGCUUUUUCAGCCUUAGGACUACCUUCUCUGGUGAGUAACCUUCAGGGCAGUGGAUAGGGGCAGAGCCAAAAGUGGGCAAGACCAAAGCCACAUCUAUCUACCCAUAUCCCAUUCACACACAUCUGGGUACACACACACCCUGAUUUGGACAAAUCUAUAUAGAGAAGAAGAUUCCCUUUCUCAGUGCUCUGCAUAGGGACACAGAGAGUUGCUGAUGUGGAAAGAGAUUGUGCUCUUUCUCCAUUGGCUGUUUGCUGCAUUUCUGUGAUGGGUGCUGAGAAGCAGGCUUUGCUUUUUCAGCAUGCAGCACAGAAACACAGUCAGCUGCCAAUGGAGGAAGAGAGCGAUCUUUUUCCAUAAGCAGCAGGAUUCUACAGCCACACACCCCUUCCCUGCUUCUCAGCUGCCAAACCUCACCUCCACCCCCCACUCCAAAUCUCCCACAACCACAGCAGCUACUCAGCAGCCACAGCUGAGCUGAAGAGGAGAGAAGGAAGCCUAGGAAGAGGGCUAACAUAUCAGAUGGGGAGGCCCUGUGGGUCUCAUCUAGCUCAUAGGCAGGCUUGGCACCCCUGAUGCAUGUGAAGUUUGGAUUUCUUUGCCCCAUUUUGCAUCACUUUUUCAUUGUUGAUCUUUUUAGUGUCUUCACCAUCUGACUAACCUGGUGUCAUUUAUAUAACUGGAUUCCUCACUUCUCAUCCCUGACCCCAGAUCAUUUAUGAAAAAAAGUUAGUUAAUACUAUAUCAAAAAACAGAUACAUGUUUUUGUAGUGUAGCAACACUGGAAAGCACCAGAACCAUGAUAUUUUUGGUUCCAUCAAUGGAGGCAGUUGAUAUGUGGUGUGAUGGGGUUGCGGGGAGGUAGUUUGAAAAAAUAUGUAAUUUAUGCAAGUUUGACUGGAAGUGACUUUGUCUGUCUUUGAAACUCCAUUUUACUGACUCCUAUGACACUCUGCUUUCUCACCUAUGGUCACUCCAAUUUCCACCUCGCAAUCUUUCCGAUGAAUCCCCCCCCCUUUCCUUCUGGCCCCUCACUAUUGCUCUGCUUUCUGUUGAGCUGCUCAGGUGCCAUCUGAGCCCUGGGAAGUGCAUGAUGCUAAAAGAGGAACAGAGUGUCACUCUUGAAACUUCCUUCAUCAAGUCUAUAUGCUUAUUUCAAAGGGAGAGUGGGAAGAUAACCAUCCUCACCACUUCAUGACAAAGGGGGCAGUGAAUGGCCGUGUGUGUGUGUGUGUGUGUGUGUGUGUUUCAGAGGCUUCACAAGCAGAAUGGAAAAUCCUCAAGAGUACCAUUGUGCCCAUGGGCUGCACAUAGGCAACUCCUGGUUUAAUGAUUAUGUAUGCUUAAUCGUUCUGGCUUUAUUUAUGAUUCCAUAAUCUACUAGGAACUGAUGCUGACCUGUAAAUUCUUGAAUCUCCCCACAUCCCUAUUUAUAAAAUUGAUGUCAUGUUGGCUGCUUUGUCCCCCUUAUGAGAGGUUUGGAUUUUAGUAACAAGUUGCCUUUCCCCAAUCGAUCAAGAGUUUCUUAUCUGAAUUCUUUAGGACCUCUAAAGGUGUAUUCCCCUCAAACCCUGUCACUUGUUAAAAGUUAGCAUUAAUUAAAAAUUGUUUCCCAGAAGGCAUACCCAAUAUCUACAUUGAAGUUCUUUUGGUGACUCAUGAAUACCUUUAUCCAAGAAUUGUUAUUGGAAUUGAUACUGUUAUUCUUGUCUGUUGUUCUAUGCGUUGUUGUGGCUUUAUUGUUUUUAUUAGGUUAUUGUAUUUUCUAUUUUUGUUCUAAGCUGCAUUGGAAAAAAAUUAUUGAAGGAUGGUUUAGGAACCCAUUCAGUAAGAGGGCUCCUCUUUAAGGUGCCCUCCCCCAGACAUUUUCUGUGGAUUUUGCUGCUUCACUUUCAUAUUGGUCUUUGCUUUAACUUCCUUCAUUGGCUUCAUUAAAAUCAGUGGAACUUAGUGCUAUCCUGUGCAUGUUUAUUAAAGAUAAUUCCUGCUGAGUGUCUUGAAGCAUAUCCCUUGUGUAGAAUUGCAACUGAGCAGCAUAAUCAUAUUUACUUAGAAAUAACUUCUACUAAGUUAUUUUUAAAAUUCAAUAAAAUACUACAGAUGCAACAAAAAUCUCACUUUAAGUUUAGGAAGAAAACACAUGUUCUGAACUACAGAAAGUGAACAUGGCGUUAUCCUUACGUUUCAUAGACAGGUGACGUGAGUUUGAGAGAAUAGUUGCUUGCUAUGGACAAAGUGAGAGUUCAGCUGGGGGUGAGGUCCUGGCUCGCAGCUCACAUUCUUAUUCAUGUGACAACCCUAUACUGGUUGUCAGCAAUGUAAAUGAACAAAUACCUAUGGCUCUGAUAGGAAAUAGCUUAGUGUCUGUAAAGCUUCCCUACAGUUAAACUAGUAUAACAAAUAUUAAUCUGGACUCUGUUCGUUUGUUUUAAAGUAUUUAUAUGCUGCUUUUCAUCAGCAAAGAUCACAGGAUGGAUUAUCCAUUUUGGAAGGAGUCAUAACUAUUUUUUUCUAACAAUAUUCCUGUUACUGUAUAAAACUUGAGGCGUAUGCCUUCAAUUGUAUCUCAUUUUGCUUCCUCUUGCCUUAUAAAUGGACAUAAAGCUUCACAGUUACACUUUUCAGCUGACAGAGUUACUCUGUGCCAAACUAGAAGAAGGCACCAAAUACGGCUCUGAUUCGGUUCUACGCUCUGCAUGGCAGUGGCAUCCUAAGGGCACAGAAGUGAAGCGUAUGCCUGAUUCAGUGUGUUCUCAUCUGCCUUCUAUCCCAGUAUUGUUGUGGGUAUAUUCAUAGUAUUUAUGAAUACAAGGGAGUGGGUAGCGCUGUGGUCUAAACCACUGAGCCUCUUGGGCUUGCUGGUCAGCUGUUCAAGUCCACAUGGCGAAGUGAGCUCCUGUUGUCCUGUCCCAGCUUCUGCCAACCCAGCAGUUCGAAAGCACGCCAAAAAGUGCAACUAGAUUAAUAGGUACCGCAGCGGUGGGAAGGUAAACAGUGUUUCUGUGCCUCUGGCACUUGUCACGGUGCUCCGUUGUGGCAGAAGCGGUUUAGUCAUGAUGGCUACAUGACCUGGAAAGCUGUCUGUGGGCAAACGCCAGCUCCCUCGGCCUGAAAGCAAGAUGAGCGUUGCAAUUCCGUAGUCACCUUCGAAUGGACAUAGCUACCCAGGGGUCCCUUACCCGCUCCCCCCAGUAUUUAGACAACUGGUGGAGUCACUUUGGCUGGUAGCCACGUAGGUCAUAUCAUACUCAGCAAAGACCCACUGCAAAAUGUUUUGAGGUUUUUUUCUUAUAAUUAAGCAGUACGUGUAUACAGUGGUACCUUGGUUUACAAACUUAAUCCUUUCCGGAGGUCCGUUCUUAAACCGAACCCGUACUUAAACUGAGGCACACUUUCACUAAUGAGGACUCUCACCGCCAGUGCCCCCCCCAACAUUCUGAUUCCAUUCUUAGACCGAGGUAAAGUUCACAAACCUGGACACUACUUCCGGUUUUGCUGAGUUCGUAAACCGAAUCGUUCGUAAACCGAAUCGUUCGUAAACAGGACUGUUCUUAAACCGAGGUACCACUGUAUAUGAAAUAAGUUAUUCAUAGCUUACUUAAGAUAUUGAUUUAAUUGGGUCUACUCUGAGUAUGACUCAGUCAGAUACCACCCUAACAGUGGAACUGAGAAGUCCACAGUUAAAUCUUACUUC